AAACUGUCACUGCCAGAUCAAUGAAAACUAGAGACCACGACAGAGAGAAGUGACAUCACUUGUUUGUUUGUCAUGUGUUUUGUUCUGUUUUCUCAAUAUUGUUGUUUGUUUUUGCUUUUUUAGAUUUAGUAUUGUCAUGAUGAGAACUUUGUCCUCUCCUUGAAGCAGCUUGGUAACACUAACUAAAAUUAUCACUGUUGUGUCUAGGUUUGUCUUUGCUUUCUUUCUUUUUGUUUUCCCUUCCUGAGUAGGCUUCCCGUAUGCUACUUAUUAAGUCAAGCUGGCAGUGGGCCUUCAGAUUCCUUCCUGACUGGCCAGUGCUAUGCUCACAGACUUGGAUGGAAUGGAACAGCACUUCAGACUAGAAAGUCAGGAGAGAAGAGGUGCAAGAAGAGCUGAACUGUUGAUGAUGAUUGACAAAGACCCUCCGUGUGUGCACAGGAGACAA
rnacentral:lncRNA from 1 species